rnacentral:ncRNA from 1 species
AAGAUUUUUAGAUUUCGGUAUCGCUAUAUCUCAUCGUCAUUCUCACUUCUCGACUUUACCUCGGCUAAUUUAGCCGGGGUUUUU